rnacentral:rRNA from 1 species
GACGAACGCUGGCGGCGUGCCUAAUACAUGCAAGUCGAGCGAAGUUUUUCUGGUGCUUGCACCGGAAAAACUUAGCGGCGAACGGGUGAGUAACACGUAAAGAACCUGCCUCAUAGACUGGGACAACUAUUGGAAACGAUAGCUAAUACCGGAUAACAGCAUUAACUGCAUGGUUGAUGUUUAAAAGUUGGUUUUGCUAACACUAUGAGAUGGCUUUGCGGUGCAUUAGCUAGUUGGUGGGGUAAAGGCCUACCAGGGCGACGAUGCAUAGCCGACCUGAGAGGGUGAUCGGCCACACUGGGACUGAGACACGGCCCAGACUCCUACGGGAGGCAGCAGUAGGGAAUCUUCCGCAAUGGGCGAAAGCCUGACGGAGCAACGCCGCGUGAGUGAAGAAGGAUUUCGGUUCGUAAAGCUCUGUUGUUAGGGAAGAAUGAUUGUGUAGUAACUAUACACAGUAGAGACG